rnacentral:rRNA from 1 species
CAGGGAUUGCCUCAGUAACGGCGAGUGAAGCGGCAACAGCUCAAAUUUGAAAGCUGGCUUCGGCCCGCGUUGUAAUUUGUAGAGGACGCUUCGGGUGCGGCCCCGGUCUAAGUUCUUUGGAACAGGACGUCAUAGAGGGUGAGAAUCCCGUAUAUGGCUGGUGGCCUGUGCCUAUGUGAAGCUCCUUCGACGAGUCGAGUUGUUUGGGAAUGCAGCUCAAAAUGGGAGGUGUAUUUCUUCUAAAGCUAAAUAUUGGCCAGAGACCGAUAGCGCACAAGUAGAGUGAUCGAAAGAUGAAAAGCACUUUGGAAAGAGAGUUAAAUAGUACGUGAAAUUGUUGAAAGGGAAGCGCUUGCAAUCAGACUUGCGCGGCGUUGAUCAACCUGGGUUCUCCCGGGUGCACUCGGCGCCGCUCAGGCCAGCAUCAGUUUCGGUGGUGGGAUAAAGGCCCAGGGAACGUGAGUCGCUUCGGUGACUGUUAUAGCCCUGGGUGCCAUGCUGCCUAUCGGGACUGAGGACCGCGCUUCGGCUAGGAUGCUGGCGUAAUGGUUGUAAGCGACCCGUCUUGAAACACGGACCAAGGAGUCAACCACUUGUGCGAGUGUUUGGGUGUUAAACCCAUACGCGUAAUGAAAGUGAACGGAGGUGAGAGCCCUCGGGUGCAUCAUCGACCGAUCCUGAUGUCUUCGGAUGGAUUUGAGUAAGAGCAUAAUCGGUUGGACCCGAAAGAUGGUGAACUAUACUUGAAUAGGGUGAAGCCAGGGGAAACCCUGGUGGAGGCUCGCAGCGGUUCUGACGUGCAAAUCGAUCGUCAAAUUUGAGUAUAGGGGCGAAAGACUAAUCGAACCAUUGGAACAGAGAACCUAGCUUCUAGGUGGUUGAGAGACGGCUCGGCCGUCUAGUUUCCUUGCGGAAGCUAUACUGCAAACGUGCGGGGACCCUCUGAUGGCCUACGCUACCGCUGCGACCGCUGAAAGGCGGGCGUGGCACCGGUUUGCUCCGGGUACGGUAACAAUGCGUUGGGAUUGAGCGAUCCGCAGCCCGUUCCCUAAGGCCCCCUCCGGGGGCUACGGGGACGGUUCAUCGACUAGAUGGCAGUGGGUGCGGCCUCCAGGCCGCGCCUAAGGUAUAGUCAGACCGUGGCAGCGAUACCGUGGCAGCUCG